rnacentral:rRNA from 1 species
ACCCCACUAUUCUCUUUAACUAAAAAAUUCUAAGCACUACAACUGUCAUAGUUAAAACUUAAAGAACAUGGCGGCCAGCUUAAAUUUCAGAGGAACCUGCCAGGUAAGUGAUAGCCCGCAGAAGCUCCUGCUUUCCCUAAAAGCUUAUAUAUCGCCGUUUAGAAACUCUCUUAGAGAGUUUCUAUGCCCUAUAAAACAGGUCAAGAUGUAGUCUACGGGAAAGAGCAAGGUGGGUUACAGUAAUAAAUUCUUAGGUGCGGAAGCUCCCUUUAAUUGUGAGCUGAAGAAGGAUUUGAAAGUAAUUUUUAAUAGAAUUACAAAGUGAAUAUUUCUAAGCUUGUGCACACACCG